rnacentral:pre_miRNA from 1 species
GUCGAGUACUUCACUCGUUUCAAAACAAACGUUUGACCGUUCAUUUUAUUUAAAAAAAUUUUAUGAUUAUUUUUUUAUUAUUAGAUGGUAAAACAUAAAUAGUAUUUUAUGUGUGACUAUUUUUUUUAAUUUUUUUAAAUAAAAUAAACGGUUAAACGUUGAACACAGAUACUUACGACAUCACUUAUU